ACUGAAAAUCUAACCCAAAUAAGCAAACGCAGCCCACACUAUUUCUAUAAAACUAAACCAUUCUUUAAAUUUAGUACAGGCGAUCAAAAAAUUUUUAGGAGUUAUACACAUAGUACCGCAAGGGAAAGAUGAAAUAGAAUGAAAACCCUUAAGUAAAAUAAAGUAGAGACUUCACCUCGUACCUUUUGCAUUAUGACUUAACUAGUUUACUCAAGCAAAAAGACUUUUAGUUAGCCUCCCCGAAACUAAGCGAGCCACUCCGAGGCAGCUUUAUGAGCCCACCCAUCUCUGUAGCAAAAGAGUGGGGAGACCUCCCAGUAGAGGUGAUAUACCUAACGAGCUUAGUGAUAGCUGGUUACUCGAGAAAAGGAUCUUAGUCCUACCUAAACACCCUACAAUUUUACCAAAUAAACACUUAAAUUUAGAGCUAUUCAAAUAAGGUACAGCCUAUUUGAAAAAGGAAACAACCUAAAACAAUGGGUAUUAUUAUGAUACCCCACAACCUAGUGGGCCUAAAAGCAGCCAACUCUUAAAAAGCGUCAAACCUUAAUUGUGUCGAUCUUUAAUGCUCACACCCACACUGACCCCUUCAACAGUAUCGAGUAAUUCUAUAUUCAUAUAGAACUUUUCAUGUUAAUAUUAGUAACAAGAAGACUGACCUUCUCUUAGAUGCAAACAAAAAUCAGCAAGAACACACCACUGACAAUUAACACCCGUGGACCCUAAAUAGCAACUUAACAAGAAAAACCUCCACAAUAUUCUGUUAACCUUACACAAGAGCAUUAAAAGAAAGAUUAAAAGAAAAAGAAGGAACUCGGCAAAACUAACCUCGCCUGUUUACCAAAAACAUCGCCUCUUGCACCCAUAAGAGGUCCAGCCUGCCCAGUGACCCCGUUCAACGGCCGCGGUAUCCUAACCGUGCGAAGGUAGCGUAAUCACUUGCCCCUUAAAUAGGGGCUGGUAUGAACGGCACCACGAAGGUUUAACUGUCUCCUUUUUCUAAUCAGUGAAAUUAAUCUCCCCGUGAAGAAGCGGGGAUAAACACAUAAGACGAGAAGACCCUAUGGAGCUUUAAAUGUUAACAACAAUUGCUCUUCCACCCAACAUAGCACUAUGAUUGUUAAUUUUAGGUUGGGGCGACCACGGAGCAAAACUUAACCUCCUUGUUGAAGGAAUUAUCCUAUAGCAAAAACUAACAACUUUAAGCAUCAUUAAAUUGACAUUCAUUGACCCAAUAUUUUGAUCAACGAACCAAGUUACCCUAGGGAUAACAGCGCCAUCCACCUCAAGAGCCCCUAUCGACAGGUGGGUUUACGACCUCGAUGUUGGAUCAGGGCAUCCCAGUGGUGUAGCCGCUACUAAAGGUUCGUUUGUUCAACGAUUAAAGCCCC
rnacentral:rRNA from 1 species